GAUGAACGCUGGCGGUGUGCCUAAUACAUGCAAGUCGAGCGAACAGACGAGGAGCUUACUCCUCUGACGUUAGCGGCGGACGGGUGAGUAACACGUGGAUAACCUACCUAUAAGACUGGGAUAACCUCGGGAAACCGGAGCUAAUACCGGAUAACAUGUUGAACCGCAUGGUUCAACAGUGAAAGACGGUCUUGCUGUCACUUAUAGAUGGAUCCGCGUCGCAUUAGCUAGUUGGUAAGGUAACGGCUUACCAAGGCAACGAUGCGUAGCCGACCUGAGAGGGUGAUCGGCCACACUGGAACUGAGACACGGUCCAGACUCCUACGGGAGGCAGCAGUAGGGAAUCUUCCGCAAUGGGCGAAAGCCUGACGGAGCAACGCCGCGUGAGUGAAGAAGGUCUUCGGAUCGUAAAACUCUGUUAUUAGGGAAGAACAAAUGUGUAAGUAACUAUGCACGUCUUGACGGUACCUAAUCAGAAAGCCACGGCUAACUACGUG
rnacentral:rRNA from 1 species